rnacentral:misc_RNA from 1 species
GAUGAAGAACGCAGCGAAAUGCGAUACGUAAUGUGAAUUGCAGAAUUCAGUGAAUCAUCGAAUCUUUGAACGCACAUUGCGCUCGCCAGUAUUCUGGCGAGCAUGCCUGUUCGAGCGUCAUUUCAACCAUCAAGCUCUGCUUGCGUUGGGGAUCCGCGUCUGACGCGGUCCCUCAAAAACAGUGGCGGGCUCGCUAGUCACACCGAGCGUAGUAACUCUACAUCGCUAUGGUCGUGCGGCGGGUUCUUGCCGUAAAACCCCCAAUUUCUAAGGUUGACCUCGGAUCAGGUAGGAAUACCCGCUGAACUUAAGCAUAUCAAUAAGCGGAGGA